rnacentral:rRNA from 2 species
ACCUGGUUGAUCCUGCCAGUAGUC